rnacentral:lncRNA from 1 species
AUUUUUUAAUUACAAAUUAUAGUUCUUUAAAUAAGGGUAAAAUUAUAAUUUAAAACUAUUUACUCCCAAUCCAAGACAAUGUAAACACAUAAAUUGGAUUCUGGUUUCAAUUCCAUUCUCCCAUUCUAAUGUAAGUAAACAACCUAUUCUCACUCCCACUCCUCAAGAUUCCCACUCCAAUCCAAAAUGUAAACGCUACCUAAAAGUUGGCCUUACAACCCCAAGUUCAGCAAGUGUUGUGUUUAAGGCAAUAGAAUUUGGAUCCUAAAAAAGCCACUUAACCAAUGGCCAUAGCUUUGAAUUGAGUGGGUGGUUCUCUCCUGACAUAACUCUUACAUCAACCUAGAAGCAAGUUGCUAGUAAGAGAUGUUACUCCUGGAGCUCCAUGGUUCCAACGAGCAUCAUGACACUAUUGUUCCUAUUCCACACCCUAAUCCCACUAUCUACAUACUCUUCAACUCGAUCAUUCUAACAUAUUCCUUGACAUGGGGAGAUAUCUUGACCAAUUCGUGAUAUUGUACAUAAUGGUAGGGCCUAUCCACAAGACAAUUUCAAAGUUAGAAAUCAUGCCCUUCAUCGAAGUGUUUCCAUGGAAAAGAGAUUAAUGUCCAUGCAUUCUAACAGCAAAACUUGUUCAUAACAUGAACUACUUCCUUUAUGAAGUUACUUCUAGUGUUUCCAAUUACCUUUAUAUAUCCACCAAAAUCUCUAAUUGUAGCAUUUUUUAGCAAACUAAACAUGGAAAGAAUUCAAUUUCAUCCAUGAUUUGCAUUCAACCAACAUAAAAAUUUUUAAUAGAUGAUAUCUAAUAUUUUCCAGCAACUCAAAAUAAUGAUUUCCCUGAUUAUAUCAGAAAUAGACAUUGAUAAACUACAAAGAUCUCAACAUAACCCUCAGCCAAAUUAGAGAUAGAUGGUGUGAGUCAUGGACACCAACGUUCAUGAAGAAGAAGUUUUAGCGUCUAUUGGAGUCUUUUCCCACUAACACUUAAUUAGCUAUCUUUUUUCAAGUUUGCUUCCUCAUAUUAGUUUUUGUUUUUAUACACGUAAGUUAUGGUCACAAGAUUAGGAAGAGUUGUUAGAAAUUAUUUACAUUUAAGCUCCUUCAAUUAAUAAAAAAGGGCAUGAGAAAAUUUCCUAAACAUUAUGGUUUGUUCUCACAUGAAGAGAGCUACUUCUUGUUAUUAUUCUUUUAGCUUUGAGUAGGAACUAUUGUUGGCAUUAAUGCUUACUAUGGCGACAAACAAAACCUGAAUCAAAGCUUUAGAAUCAAAGCUCAAUGGCAUCCAGGAUGGAAUACAUAGUGAUGAGAACCAUCAAGGGACCAUUAAAACUUCAAGUGAUCCUUUGCACAUUCAUGGAGGCCCAAUUACAAGAGCAAGAGCCAAAAAGAUGCAAGCUGCUUUAAAUGGAUUAAUUGAGAAAAUAUGGAUUGAAAAUGCAAUUCAAGAUGCAAGACAUCAUGAAUUGGGCUUGAAGAGAAGACAAGGCAUUGUGGGCAUUAUUCAAGUCAUUGGGCAGCCAAAUACACAAGUUGUAUCAAAUGCAGAAAGGUCAAAUUCGGAAUAAAAACUGUAUUGAUUGAGCCAGAAUUAAAAUGCAAGCUAUAUACCGUUGGAAAGAUAAUUAAGUUAGCUUUCCAAUAAAUUUUACAGAGAUGGAUUUGGAGUUCUCUAGAAGGAGUUAUGACCAAUUCUUUACAGCUUGUUCAGACUUGGGAUUUUCAACGAAUCCUUUGUUUUUCAACUUAUUUGUUUGUUUUGUUUCAAGUUUGUCAAUGAUAGCAUUAAUUAUAGUAGGCUAGCAUUAAGUUUGUCAAAGAUAGCAUUGAUCAUGGUGGGUUGGUGAAGACUUUUGAAACAUCUUUUGACAAACUUACUUGGAGGAUUGUUCCAAUGUUUCCAUUUGUAUUUUUAGGAUCUUGGGUUCCUUUUAGCCUAUUUAAAUUCAGCAACCUUGGUAUGUAAGGAGAUGAAUGUUAUUUUGAAUUUGAAAGAUUAUUCUUUCUUUGGUUCUUUUGAGAACUAGUGAACUUAUCAAGAAUUUACAUUCUUGUGGUGUUCCAAAUUUAGACUUAUCACUCACCUUCUCAUCUCUUUCUUGAGUGUGGCGUCAAUACCCUUCUCUAUACCUUUGGUUCAUGUUUUCUUAAGCAUUGGGUCAAGGUUUUUGUUUGCCAUAAAUCUGUUUAGAACUUUCUUGGGAAGUUGAAACUACAAAUUAAUUGUAGGAUUGAAAGUUUCAUUGUGGGAUUCGUAUCAUUUGGUAUCAGAGCUAGUUUCUAAUCAGGUUUGAAUGUCUUAUUUAUUUUGAUUAUCAAAAAAAAAAAGAAAAAAAAACGUACAAAAAAAAAAGAUUACAAAAAAAGAGUCAAGUAUUUCUACUUUCAUAGUUUACACAUAUCAAUUGUGUUGCUUUGCUUGCUUGCUUUCCUUUUUUCAAUUUCCUUUUCAUUCUUUGUGUCCUCUUAAUUUCUUUUCUUUGUUAGUGUGCUGGAUUGUCAUAUUUGGUGUGCCACUUGGGUUUUUUUUUUUUUCUUGAUUUUGUUUAUUUAGUUCAAUAAAGAACUGAAAGAGAGAAUUAAGUGUGGUAAAAGGCAAUUUGUGUGUUAAACACGAGAGUUAAGUGACAUCAAAAUUGAGUGAAAUACGUGAGGGAGUGUUGUGAGGUCUUUUUGCUAACAAUUUUUUUUUUCAGAUCACAAAUAUGUCAAAAGAUCAAGAAGCUAUAGACCAAUCAAUCAUGCUCAAAGCCAUGCAACAACAAUUUGAGCACAUGAAUCUGAUGUUUGGAGAGAUCCGUGACAAAUUGGAGAGGCAAGACACUGCCAUAGCCAAUCUACAAAGGGGGCAACAACCAAUAGCUCCUAAUGUAAGAGGUAAUCAAGGGCGUGCUGUCAUGGGAGAAGAAGAUGGCGAUGACGUAGAUGAUUUUGAUGACCAGGCCACUGUUGACAUGCGUGGAAGAGAUAAUAGAAGGGCAAGACGUAUAGAUCGUGAUUUGGGGAGUAUAAAACUGAAAAUUCCUUCUUUUCAAGGUAAACAUGAUCCGGAAGCUUAUUUAGAGUGGGAAAAAAAGGUGGAGCUAGUAUUUGAUUGCCACAACUACUCUGAGGAGAAAAAGGUAAAACUAGCUGCUGUUGAAUUUACUGAUUAUGCUAUUAUUUGGUGGGAUCAACUUGUUUUGAGUAGGAGACGAAAUCGUGAAAGGCCUAUAAACACUUGGGAGGAGAUGAAGGCCAUUAUGAGGAGGAGAUUUGUUCCUAGUCAUUAUUAUAGGGAGCUGCACCAAAGGCUUCAAAGUCUUACACAAGGUUCUAGAAGUGUGGAAGAUUACCACAAGGAGAUGGAAAUAAUCAUGAUUCGAGCCAACAUUGAAGAAGAACGAGAGGCCACUAUGGCAAGAUUUUUACAUGGGUUAAAUCAAGAUAUUGCUAAUGUGGUUGACUUGCAGCACUAUGUUGAGUUGGAAGACAUGGUUCACAUGGCCAUGAAAGUGGAACGACAAUUGAAAAAGAAAGGUUCCACUAGAACCAAUUUGGGUUCAUCUUCCUCAUGGAAGUCAAAAUGGAGCAAAGAUGAAAAGGUUGUUUCAAAGCCUCAGAUUGAGCCAAUCAAGGAUCAUAAAGAGGGAGGCAACCAAAGUAAAGGUAAAUCUGAUUCCCAACACUCUAGAAAUAGAGAUAUUAAGUGUUUUAAAUGUUUGGGGACAGGUCAUAUUGCAUCUCAAUGCCCAAAUAAAAGAGUAAUGAUCGAACCAAUUUGGGUUCAUCUUCCUCAUGGAAGUCAAAAUGGAGCAAAGAUGAAAAGGUUGUUUCAAAGCCUCAGAUUGAGCCAAUCAAGGAUCAUAAAGAGGGAGGCAACCAAAGUAAAGGUAAAUCUGAUUCCCAACACUCUAGAAAUAGAGAUAUUAAGUGUUUUAAAUGUUUGGGGACAGGUCAUAUUGCAUCUCUUAUGCCCAAAUAAAAGAGUAAUGAUCUUGAGGGAUAAUGGUGAUGUUGAAACCGAGAGUGAAUCAGAUGAUGAUCCUAUGCCACCUUUGGAGGAUGCUAAUGAUGGUGUAGAAUAUCCUGUUGAUGGUAAGUUGAUGGUUGCUAGGCGUGCUCUCAACAUGCAAGUUAAAGAGGAUGCGGAGGUACAACGUGAUAACAUCUUUCAUACUAGAUGCCACAUCAAAGAUAAGGUAUGUAGUAUGAUAAUUGAUGGAGGAAGUUGUACUAAUGUAGCUAGCACUAGUUUAGUUGAAAAAUUAAAUUUGAAAACUUUGAAACAUCCAAGGCCAUAUAAGCUACAAUGGCUGAAUGAUUGUGGGGAAGUUAAAGUAAAUAAACAAGUGCUGGUUUCAUUCUCUAUUGGGAGAUACAAGGAUGAGGUUCUAUGUGAUGUAGUACCCAUGCAUGCUGGACACAUUCUUUUGGGUCGACCUUGGCAAUAUGAUAGGCGUGUGACACAUGAUGGAUACUUAAAUAGAUAUUCUUUUGUAAUGAAUAAAAGGCAAAUCACUCUUGUACCAUUAACACCUAGGCAAGUGUAUGAGGAUCAAAUGUCAAUAAAAAAAGAGAGUGAUACAAAAAAUGAAAAUGAGAGUACAAAAGAAAGAGAGAUUGAGAGAAAAGCAAGUGAAAAGAUACAAAAAAAUAUUGUUGAGAGAAAAGAGAGGCAGCAAGUGAACUUGUUUGCAAAAGAGAGUGAGGUUAAGAGGGCUUUUUUUUCAAAACAGCCUAUCGUUGUACUUUUGUGCAAAGAGGCUUGUUUACACACUAAUGAGCUUAACUUUUCUUUGCCUAGUGCUAUUGUGACUCUUUUGCAGGACUUUGAUGAUGUGUUUCCAAAUGAAGUCCCUAACGGUUUGCCACCUAUUAGGGGAAUUGAGCAUCAAAUAGACUUCGUCCCUGGAGCUACCAUUCCUAAUAGACCUGCAUAUAGAAGUAACCCCGAGGAGACAAAGGAGCUUCAAAGGCAAGUUGAAGAACUCUUGGCAAAAGGAUAUGUGAAGGAGAGCAUGAGUCCAUGUGCAGUACCAGUUUUACUAGUGCCCAAAAAGGAUGGAACAUGGAGGAUGUGUGUUGACUGUCGUGCAAUUAAUAAAAUCACUGUAAAGUAUCGACAUCCUAUUCCUAGACUUGAUGACAUGCUUGAUGAAUUGCAUGGUUCUUGUGUGUUUAGUAAAAUUGAUCUUAAAAGUGGGUAUCAUCAAAUUAGGAUUAGAGAGGGAGAUGAGUGGAAAACUGCCUUUAAAACAAAAUAUGGUUUAUAUGAGUGGUUAGUGAUGCCAUUUGGGUUAUCUAAUGCACCUAGCACUUUUAUGAGGUUAAUGAACCAUGUUUUGCGUGCUUUUAUUGGCAAAUUCGUAGUUGUCUAUUUUGAUGAUAUUUUGAUCUAUAGCAAAGGCUUAGAUGAACACAUUGAACAUUUGCAAAGUGUAUUGACUGUUUUAAGGAAGGAAAAGUUGUAUGCUAAUUUGAAGAAGUGUUCCUUUUGUACAAAUCAGAUUGUUUUUCUUGGUUAUGUUGUAAGUGCUAAAGGAAUUGAGGUUGAUGAAGAGAAGGUAAAGGCUAUUAAAGAGUGGCCUACACCUAAAAGUGUAAGUGAGGUAAGAAGUUUUCAUGGUUUGGCUAGUUUUUAUAGAAGAUUUGUGAAAGAUUUUAGCACCCUUGCUGCACCAUUAACUGAAAUUGUGAAGAAACAUGUGGGAUUUAAGUGGGGUAGUGAACAAGAAAAGGCAUUUAAUCUAAUUAAGGAGAAAUUAGUUUCUGCACCAUUACUUGCUUUACCUGAUUUUACUAAAACUUUUGAAAUUGAGUGUGAUGCUUCAGGUAUAGGUAUUGGAGCUGUUUUGAUGCAAGAAGGGCGUCCAAUUGCUUAUUUUAGUGAGAAAUUGGGUGGAGCAGCCCUAAACUAUCCUACCUAUGACAAGGAGAUGUAUGCAUUGGUGAGAGCUUUGGAAACUUGGCAACAUUAUCUUCUACCUAAAGAGUUUGUUAUACACACUGAUCAUGAGUCCUUGAAGCAUUUGAAAGGGCAAGGUAAGUUACAUAAGAGACAUGCCAAAUGGGUUGAAUUUAUUGAGCCAUUUCCUUAUGUGAUCAAAUAUAAACAAGGUAAGGAGAAUGUGGUGGCUGAUGCAUUAUCUAGAAGGUUUUCAAAGAUGGCGCAUUUCAUUCCAUGUCAUAAAAACUGAUGAUGCGACAAGCAUAGCUAAUUUGUUUUCAAGGAAUAGUCAGGUUAAUGCUUGUGAGAAAGUUGCAUUUGGUAAGUUCUAUAGGCAUGAUGGGCUUUUAUUUAGAGAAAAUAAAUUGUGUGCUUAAUGCUUGUGAGAAAGUUGCAUUUGGUAAGUUCUAUAAGCAUGAUGGGCUUUUAUUUAGAGAAAAUAAAUUGUGUGCGCCUCAUAAUUCAUUGCGUGAAGCUUAUGGGGUUGGUUUAAUGGGACAUUUUGGCAUUGCAAAGACUUUAGAUGUUUUAAAAGAACACUUCUUUUGGCCACAUAUGAAACGUGAUGUUGAAAGAAUAUGUGAGAAGUGUAUCACUUGUAAACAUGCUAAGUCAAGAGUUUUACCCCAUGGAUUGUAUAACCCUCUGCCCAUACCUAGUGAACCUUGGGUUGAUAUUUCUAUGGACUUUGUUUUGGGUUUACCUAGGUCAAAAAGGGGAAAUGAUUCUGUUUUUGUUGUUGUUGAUAGGUUUUCAAAGAUGGCGCAUUUCAUUCCAUGUCAUAAAACUGAUGAUGCGACAAGCAUAGCUAAUUUGUUUUUUCAAGGAAAUAGUCAGGUUGCAUGGAGUACCAAGGAGCAUAGUUUCAGAUCGAGAUGCUAAGUUCUUGAGCCACUUUUGGAAAACUUUGUGGGGUAAGUUGGGUACUAAACUUUUGUUUUCUACUACUUGUCAUCCACAACUGAUGGACAAACUGAGGUUGUAAAUAGAACUCUGUCUACUUUGUUGCGUGCCAUUAUUCAAAAGAACUUGAAAACUUGGGAAGAAUGUUUGCCACAUGUUGAAUUUGCUUAUAAUAGAACUGUCCAUUCAGCUACUAAAUUCUCACCAUUUGAGAUUGUAUAUGGUUUUAAUCCAUUAACUCCUUUGGAUUUAUUACCUUUACCUAUUGAUGAACGUGCUAGUAUGGAUGGUAAAAAGAAAGCUGAAUUUGUCAAGCAAUUGCAUGAGAGAACACGUCAACACAUAGAAAAGCGAACUGAACAAUAUGCUACUCAAGCCAACAAAGGACGUAAGCAAGUGGUUUUUCAGCCUGGAGAUUGGGUUUGGGUGCAUAUGAGAAAGGAGAGGUUCCCAGCACAAAGGCGUUCCAAGUUACUUCCAAGGGGAGAUGGUCCAUUUCAAGUGGUUGCACGGAUCAAUGACAAUGCCUACAAAUUGGAUCUUCCUGGUGAGUAUAAUGUGAGUGCUACUUUCAAUGUUUCUGAUCUUUCUCCUUUCGAUGUAGGUGAAGAUUCGAGGACGAAUCCUUUUGAAGAGAGGGGGAAUGAUGAGAACCAUCAAGGGACCAUUAAAACUUCAAGUGAUCCUUUGCACAUUCAUGGAGGCCCAAUUACAAGAGCAAGAGCCAAAAAGAUGCAAGCUGCUUUAAAUGGAUUAAUUGAGAAAAUAUGGAUUGAAAAUGCAAUUCAAGAUGCAAGACAUCAUGAAUUGGGCUUGAAGAGAAGACAAGGCAUUGUGGGCAUUAUUCAAGUCAUUGGGCAGCCAAAUACACAAGUUGUAUCAAAUGCAGAAAGGUCAAAUUCGGAAUAAAAACUGUAUUGAUUGAGCCAGAAUUAAAAUGCAAGCUAUAUACCGUUGGAAAGAUAAUUAAGUUAGCUUUCCAAUAAAUUUUACAGAGAUGGAUUUGGAGUUCUCUAGAAGGAGUUAUGACCAAUUCUUUACAGCUUGUUCAGACUUGGGAUUUUCAACGAAUCCUUUGUUUUUCAACUUAUUUGUUUGUUUUGUUUCAAGUUUGUCAAUGAUAGCAUUAAUUAUAGUAGGCUAGCAUUAAGUUUGUCAAAGAUAGCAUUGAUCAUGGUGGGUUGGUGAAGACUUUUGAAACAUCUUUUGACAAACUUACUUGGAGGGUUGUUCCAAUGUUUCCAUUUGUAUUUUUAGGAUCUUGGGUUCCUUUUAGCCUAUUUAAAUUCAGCAACCUUGGUAUGUAAGGAGAUGAAUGUUAUUUUGAAUUUGAAAGAUUAUUCUUUCUUUGGUUCUUUUGAGAACUAGUGAACUUAUCAAGAAUUUACAUUCUUGUGGUGUUCCAAAUUUAGACUUAUCACUCACCUUCUCAUCUUUUUCUUGAGUGUGGCGUCAAUACCCUUCUCUAUACCUUUGGUUCAUGUUUUCUUAAGCAUUGGGUCAAGGUUUUUGUUUACCAUAAAUCUGUUUAGAACUUUCUUGGGAAGUUGAAACUACAAAUUAAGUGUAGGAUUGAAAGUUUCAUUGUGGGAU